GCGAAGGUGGCGGAAUUGGUAGACGCACUAGACUAAGGAUCUAGCGGGGCGACCUGUGAGGGUUCGAGUCCCUCCCUUCGCACCA
rnacentral:tRNA from 1 species